rnacentral:ncRNA from 1 species
ACGGAAUAAAAACACAGUCUGGUUGGUAGUCCAGACGCAAUGAGAAUUGUCAGUAACCUGCCUCCUUGGUUGUCCGUUUCCUUA